rnacentral:piRNA from 1 species
UGGCUUAUGGAUCCAGAGGGAUAAGAGU